GGUGAACGCUGGCGGCGUGCCUUAGGCAUGCAAGUGGAACGAUGUGACUUCGGUCACAAGUCGCGAACGGCUGAGUAACGCGUAAGUAUCUACCCAAUGGUGGGGAAUACCCAUCCGAAAGGAUGGUUAAUACCGCAUAAGAUCUAUGGAUGAAAGGGCUUAACUGCCCGCCGAUGGAGGAGCUUGCGUACCAUCACGCUUGUUGGUAGGGUAACGGCCUACCAAGGCUACGACGGUUAGGGGAUGUGAGAGCAUGAACCCCCAGAAAGGCACUGAGACACGGGCCUUACACCUACGGGUGGCAGCAACUAGGAAUAGUGCGCAAUGGACGAAAGUCUGACGCCGCGACGCCGCGUGAGGGAUGACGGCCUUAGGGUUGUAGGGGCUCUUUUGCCAGAAGGGAGACCGACUGGAGAAUAAGCACCCGCUAACUACGUGCCAGCAGCUGCGGUGAUACGUAGGGUGCAAGCGUUGCCCGGAUUUACUGGGCGUAAAGCGUUUCGUAGGCUUUUUGGUAAGUUGUACUUUAAAGACCGGGGCUCAACCUCGGAAAGGGGUACAAUACUGCCAGAAUUGAAGAAUUUAGGGGCUACUGGAACUUAUGGUGUAGGAGUGAAAUCCGUUGAUAUCAUAAGGAACGCCAAGGGCGUAGGCAGGUAGCUGGGAAUUUCUUGACGCUGAGGAACGAAAGCUAGGGUAGCGAAGGGGAUUAGAGACCCCCGUAGUCCUAGCCGUAAACGAUGCUCGCUAGGGGUGUGCUCUUCGGAGUGCGUUCCGUAAGCUAACGCGUUAAGCGAGCCGCCUGGGGAGUACGAUCGCAAGAUUAAAACUCAAAGGAAUUGACGGGGACCCGCACGACCAGUGGAGCAUGUGGUUUAAUUCGAGACGAACCGAAGAACCUUACCUGGACUUGACAUUCUAGGCAUUAGGAACCUAGAGAUAGGAUUUGAUUCUUCAUAUGAAGAAACCUAGAACAGGUGCUGUAUGGCUGUCGUCAGCUCGUGCCGUAGGGUGUUCCCUUCAGUGGGGUAACGAGCGCAACCCCUGUCGUAUGUUAUAUUUUCAUACGAGACAACUUAAGUCAUACUUAAGAGGAAGUGGGGACGACGUCAAGUCAGCAUGGCCCUUAUGUCCAGGGCUACACACAUGCUACAAUGGAGCCGACAAAGGGUUGCCAAGUGGUAACACGGAGCUAAUCCCAUCAAACGGCUUCUCAGUGGGGAUUGAGGGCUGCAAUUCGCCCUCAUGAACGUGGAAUUGGUAGUAAUCGCGGAUCAGCCAAGCCGCGGUGAAUACGUUCUCGGGUCUUGUACACACCGCCCGUCAAGGCAGUAAAGUUGGAGGCACCCGAACACCGUUUGUAACGGUGGAAGGUGAAGCCAGCGAU
rnacentral:rRNA from 1 species